UACGUAGGGGGCAAGCGUUGUCCGGAUUUAUUGGGCGUAAAGGGCGCGUAGGCGGCCACGCACGUCCGUUGUGAAAUCGCCCGGCUCAACUGGGCGGGGUCGGCGGAUACGGCGUGGCUGGAGCAAGCUAGGGGGCAAUGGAAUUCCCGGUGUAGUGGUGGAAUGCGUAGAUAUCGGGAGGAACACCAGUGGCGAAGGCGGUUGCCUGGAGCUUUGCUGACGCUGAGGCGUGAAAGCGUGGGGAGCGAUCCGG
rnacentral:rRNA from 1 species